rnacentral:lncRNA from 1 species
CAUCACUCUUUUUUUGUCUCUCCCCCAUUUUGGCAUAGAGGAUCAUCGCUUUACAGGGAAAAAUGGAAUUUUGUCAAGAUUCACGCAAUGGCAAUGGUUCACUAGGAUUUAACACUAAUGACCCUUUGAACUGGGGCAUGGCCGCAGAGUCACUAAAAGGAAGCCACCUAGAUGAGGUCAAGCGCAUGAUCGAGGAGUACAGGAAGCCUGUGGUCAAGCUAGGAGGUGAGACCCUGACCAUAGGCCAGGUAACUGCAAUUGCUAGCCGUGACGUUGGUGUCAUGGUGGAGUUGUCAGAGGAGGCUCGAGCUGGUGUCAAAGCCAGCAGUGACUGGGUCAUGGACAGCAUGAGCAAGGGCACAGACAGUUAUGGUGUUACUACUGGUUUUGGUGCAACCUCACAUAGAAGAACCAAGCAAGGUGGAGAGCUUCAAAAGGAGCUUAUAAGGUAAUCAAACUCAUGACAAAUCCCAAAAUUUACUUUACUUGUAUCUUAACUGCUAGUAAGGUAGCUUUUUUAAUUACUGUAUAUAUCACGCAGUUUUUUUUUUUGCCAUGAUAUUGUUAAUUUGUUACUUUAAAUAGGGGAUUGUUGGCUUGUUAGUAUUGAUAUUUCCCAGGAAAAAACAACUAAUGUCUUGUUAGAGACAAAAAAGGUCUUGUUGUGGACACGAUUCGUUCCUGUUUUAGUUGCUUCCACGUUCGACAACAUAUGUCUGCGUUAGCAGUUGAAUCAUUAAUCACAUAGACAAAUUGAUCUAAUCAUGUAACAAACAUAUUAACAAUUAUUAAUGUCUUUUUUUGGCCCUUUCAAAACAAUGGAAGCAAAGGGACGUUCUUUCAGUUAAUUGGAAUUUUGGAUCAUUACUGGCAAAAAUCCCAAGACAUAUAGCAAUAAUUAAUGAUCGAUUGUUAAGAUGGGAGAUGAUGUAUUGUGUCAUAAAGAUUAAAAAAAAAUUAAAAAUUAAAAUCUAAGGAGUUUUUGUUAGGGAGGAAGAUACUCCAAGUGCAUGUGAGCCUUAAUUUAUGAGGUGCUCCUUCACUAUCCUGGAAAAUGCCUGAAAUUAGCACGCACACGUUUCAUCAGCAGUCUUGUUAACUUGUUAUUGUUAGGUUGGUAAGUUGUACGUGGAAGUCCAGCAAGGACAAAAAAAAAUAGAGAGAGAGAGAUGAUGUGGUAGGUAGGUGAUCAGAUUAAAGCAGUGAAAUAAUUAAACUAUUAUAAAGGGUUGAAUAUUUCCAACCGGCCUAAUUAUAUUUAAAUUACGUAUCAAAGAUCAUUUAGGUGCCUGAAUUUUAAAUAAAAUGUUUUACUUUGUGUAUAUUUCCAAGUUGACUUGACUCGUUUUGUGUUAUUUAACCAUCUAAUAAAAAAUAUUCAAAGAGAAAAAGUCUAGGGUCCCGGACGGUAAACAUCAUUAAUUACUUGUAAUUUACUUCGUUAAUUAUGGUUUGCCAAUGUUAAGAAAGAGUGCAAGAAACUAUCCUAGCUGCUAGUAACAUUUUUUGGUUACAAAUUGUCACCUACACUACGCUGAGGUUCUUGCAAGAAUACCUAAUUAAAAAUGCUAUUACCAAAUAAACUUGUCACCUAAUUGUUUUUUUUUUUUGCUAAUUAAGGUUGUUGCUAAUGUGGUUUAUGGGAUUUUAUUUCACUAGGUUCUUGAAUGCCGGUAUCUUUGGGAAUGGCACGGAGUCUAGCCAUACAUUGCCUCGCUCGGCAACUAGGGCAGCUAUGUUGGUCAGAAUCAAUACCCUGCUUCAAGGUUAUUCAGGCAUAAGAUUUGAGAUGCUGGAAGCUAUCACCAAAUUGCUCAACCACAACAUCACCCCAUGUUUGCCACUCAGAGGAACAAUCACUGCCUCCGGUGACCUUGUCCCAUUGUCCUACAUUGCUGGGCUCUUGACAGGCAGGCCUAAUUCAAAGGCAGUUGGACCCAAUGGAGAGCCCCUGAGCCCUGCUGAAGCCUUUACACAAGCUGGGAUUGAUGGCGGCUUUUUUGAGUUGCAGCCGAAGGAGGGUCUAGCACUAGUGAAUGGUACUGCAGUGGGUUCCGGUCUAGCUUCAAUGGUGCUUUUUGAGACUAAUGUGUUGGCAAUCCUAUCAGAAGUUUUGUCAGCAAUCUUUGCUGAAGUUAUGCAAGGAAAACCUGAGUUUACUGAUCACCUCACACAUAAAUUGAAGCAUCAUCCUGGCCAAAUUGAAGCUGCCGCCAUCAUGGAACAUAUUUUAGAUGGCAGCGCCUAUGUUAAAGAAGCUCAGAAAUUACAUGAGAUCGAUCCUCUACAGAAACCUAAACAAGACCGAUACGCUCUUCGAACAUCUCCACAAUGGCUAGGCCCCCUGAUCGAAGUGAUUAGAACAUCAACGAAAAUGAUCGAACGAGAAAUCAACUCUGUCAAUGACAAUCCUUUGAUUGACGUGUCGAGGAAUAAGGCUCUACAUGGAGGGAAUUUCCAGGGGACCCCUAUUGGUGUUUCAAUGGACAACACUCGUUUGGCCAUUGCCUCAAUUGGCAAACUCAUGUUUGCACAGUUCUCUGAACUUGUUAACGACUUUUACAACAAUGGAUUGCCUUCAAACCUCACUGGUGGCCGCAAUCCAAGCUUGGAUUACGGGUUCAAAGGUGCCGAAAUUGCCAUGGCAUCUUACUGUUCGGAGCUCCAAUUCCUUGCCAAUCCUGUCACCAAUCAUGUCCAGAGUGCCGAGCAACACAACCAAGAUGUCAACUCCCUGGGCUUGAUUUCUUCAAGAAAAACUGCUGAAGCUGUUGACAUAUUGAAGCUCAUGUCUACCACUUUCUUGGUUGGUCUAUGCCAAGCCGUUGACCUGAGGCACAUAGAGGAGAACCUGAAGAGCACAGUCAAGAACACUGUCAGCCAAGUUGCCAAGAGAGUCUUGACAAUGGGCUUCAAUGGCGAGCUUCACCCUUCACGAUUCUGUGAAAAAGACUUGCUCAAGGUUGUUGACAGAGAACAUGUAUUUUCCUACAUUGACGAUCCUUGCAGUGCAACCUAUCCAUUAAUGCAAAAUCUAAGGCAAGUACUAGUCGAGCAUGCCUUGGUGAAUGGCGAAAGGGAAAGGAAUUCAACCACUUCGAUUUUCCAAAAGAUCGGAUCUUUUGAGGAAGAACUGAAGACCCUUUUGCCUAAAGAAGUGGAGAGUGCUAGACUUGAAGUUGAGAAUGGAAAUCCAGCUAUUCCAAACAGGAUCAAGGAAUGCAGGUCAUACCCCCUGUACAAGUUUGUGAGGGAAGAAUUGGGAACUAGUUUGCUAACAGGUGAGAAGGUCAAAUCGCCCGGCGAGGAGUUCGACAAGGUUUUCACAGCUAUCUGUGCAGGGAAGUUGAUUGAUCCCUUGCUGGAAUGCUUGAAGGAAUGGGAUGGUGCUCCUCUUCCUAUUUGCUAAGCUAUGGAUGUCCUGUAAUCAUCUUUCUUUUUUCUUUUUUCUUACUAAGCUUACUUGCCAUGUCAAUUUGUUCGUAACAAGCAAAGUGUAUGCCUCUGUUGUCUAUUUACUUUCAAAUCAUUAAAGAAUCUUUCUUUGUACAACAAUAAAUAUACCAUCCUAAAUGAAAAAGAUAAGUAUUUUUUGCUGUCAAAUUUCUCUACACUACCACUCCUCAAAUGCUUAGCAGUGCAGAUUUCAAAUGAUUGGGCCAAUAUCUUAAGCUCUUUAAUUGCAUUUAAAUCUAAUAAACUUGCAAGCAAGACCACCUUUUUGGAUUUACAAAGAUAUAAUCUUUAGGAUUUUUUUUUUUUAGAAUAGCUAAUGUUCUUGUUCAUAAAGGGCUGUCAUGUCAUGUUCAUGAUUUCUUGACAAUGCAUGUUAACAGUGAAGCCACAAUAAAAACCCACCUGGAACUGCCAUUAGAUUCAUGAUCCUACACUUACCAAAUUUUACUCUCUUUUUUUCGGUAACCAUUGCAAAAAAAAAAAAAAAAAAAAAAAACCUUAUUUACCUGAAAGGGUGGAGAAAUAUCGAUCAUAUACAAAUUCGAGAAUUGAAUUUAAAAUAUUUAUCACCACCUUUUUCCUUUCUUUCUCUUGUCUUUAUUGACAAAGAAACGAGGAGCAGUUGAUGAGGGCAACACCUACCUCUUCGCAAAAGCAUGCUGCAAAAAAAAAAAACGAACAUGAUUUCAGAACAAACAUAAUUAAAGCACUAGAACUAAAUAACUUUCUGGUGGAGGAAAUUCAUCUACUUUGAUCUAGCGAGGUGCAGACCACUCAACUUUGAGGACGAGAUUAUCAUAGCCAUAUCCAUGAGAUUGUCGAUGGCUCUCUCCGAGCAUCUUCCUUGUUAACAAGAUGAACACAACCAAAACCUUUGUUCAACCAGUGACAGCGAACACUCGAGUUGUUGGUCCAAAUGGUCGGUAGAGAUCAUUCAAGUCACUUUCUCGAGUGUCCUCUAAGAGGCACAUGGCUGUCCACCUGUCUUGCCACAAGUCCUACACUGUAAUAUGAGAGUUGCACCUCUGUUUCCAAGCUGUGCUGGAGAGUCCCCUGCUUUCUUGGUUUCGCCGUAUGCUCCUCUUCCUGUUUGCAAUUUCAACAAGGGACGUGUUAAGUAAGAUUAGUGUUGGUUAUUGGGUUAGGCCUGUUGUGUUUAUGAUGGAUGGACCUGGCUCAAGUUAUUAAAGGAGUUGCUAAAAAAAAUAAUCGUUUUCUCUAAUUAUAUAUAAAGAUAUAAUCCAUAUAGAAUGAUAAAUUUUUAUUAUUAAAAAAAUAUGAUUUUUUUUUUUUUCCAUCUUGAUUCUCUAUAUUAACUUGAUAAAAUUUAUAAAAAUAUAUGUACCGUGAAAUAUCAUUUUAAUUCUAGUAAUUAAAAUGAUAUUAAAGUAAUUGAUUUAGAAAUAAAAAAAAAAAUUCUUACAAGUCAGUUUUCUUUCCGAGGUUUUUAAUUUCAAAUUAAGGAUUGCGGCUUGAUUUUAAUUUCAACGGCACCACCGCAUACUUUUCAUCCAGCCACACCAACAACCUUUCACUUUCGAUCUUUUCUCUCUCCACUGCGUGCAGCUAGCAGCCCAGUCACGUUUAUCUUAAUCAUUAUUCUAUUCUGAAUUUGGAGAAAAAAUCAGAGGAUAAAAAUAAGCUUGACUAAUUUCACUUUGACCAUACUAUGUGUAUGGAGUGAGCCAGUGAGGCUCUCACCAACCACACACGUAGCUUAUCCAAGAGUUUGACAAAUUAAUUAAAGCCUGUAAGCUUGAUCUCUCUAUGAUUUUCUCAUUGUCUUCACCUACCCUCCCUGGAUGAGAACCACCACUGUGGUUUGUGGUGAACAAGACCCGGUCUAACCACAACAACUCCUGGCUACUAUUUUCUUCUUCUUUUUUUUACAUUUUCUUGAAGAAUAUGUGCACUGUGGUGUUCUCCACUGAUAUAUCUUUUUUAAUUGAUGCAGGCUGCUGGAUAUUAUCUACCAGGAACCUCACGAUACUGGGAGCUAGUAAAAGAUAAAAAUAAUAGAGAUAAGAUAUACAUGAUUUCAUAUAUUUCUUGUUUUAAAAAUAUAUAAAUUUAUCUUAAAAACUGUUACCAUAGAGACAUGUUUAUUUUAUUUGUGUAAAUAAAUAUGUUUCUUCCUAUCUUUUUUAUUACGAUUGCUCAUAAUAAAGACUUUAUUAUGAGCAAUCGUCCAUUAAUUCAAGAGGUUAAUGAUCAUAUCACGUGUAAUUAAUGCUGAAUUGAUCAUGGGAAACACGUAAGAUGUUUCCUCCUCAAACAGCAAACCUUAAACUAGUUGCUUUGAAGAAAAAAAAAAUAGGGUUUGGAUCAUAAAUUAACUUGACAGGUUUUUUACAACUCUACUCAGAGCAGGUUCAAACUAUCGGGCAAGCAGGGUUUAAUUAAUAAAGGUGGCUCUGUAUGCUCUGCUUUUCUUCUCGAAAGAGAGAAUGGUAUGGGUAAACUUUCAGGAUGAGAAAUAUAUCCUUUUCUUUGUUGUCUUCGUAGGUUUUUUUUGGAUUCGUUGAUUUUUUCUUCAUUAUGGCUAUAUCCUAUAUAUCAGCCAGUGACUUGGCCCUGGCUUUCACUUGUUCAAACCCUACGUUCGAUAUAAAUAUUUUUAAAUGGUUAAACAGUAAUACCAAAUAAUCAGGGCAGAACCAGGGGAGGGGAGGCAACCUGUAAAAGAUUUUAGAUUUUAUUAUUUUUUAGUGUCUAAAUAUAGAAUAAUAUACUAUUUUUUUUAUUUUAAAUUUUAAAUAGAGGGAUUUUCUAAUAAUAAAUUAUAUCUUGAGUUUUGUCUACACCCCAACAAAUAUUAUUUUAAUAACGGUUUUUUUUUAUAAAUUUAGUCAUCAAGCCCACUGUUCAGGCCGUUUUAACACCCAAUUAAGUAAAUCUCAGUAGGACUAGCCGAAAGAAGCACAUGAUUACAAUUAAUAAAUUUUACUUGAGUUUUCUUCUAUAAUAUUUAUGCCUGGCUUUGAUCCAGCCGCCAUGAUUCUUGGAUUUACCAUGCACUCACGAUGAAAAGUCACCACUUAAGUGCAUGCUACUUACCACAACAUCCCAAGUGUCACAAUCCCACCCAUUGAAUCCCAUGAUGAUCCAACGGCCACAUACACUUUUCAACCAGCACAUCGGCCAACCCACCCCAUCCUUCUCUAUUUAAAGCACCUAAAUUUUGGUGAAUAAACUCAGGAUUUUUGGGUAACCUGAAAAUUCCUACAUGCAUUUAGAGCCUCGCAACUUCAGUUUUUUUUACUAUACAACCCUCAUAUAAUUUUUUACGCCAGAAAAUUCUUUGUGCUCACACAUCCGUUCUUCUCUCUCAUUUUCUCUUUGAUCAUACCAAUUGAUCCAUCACUCUUUUUUUGUCUCUCCUCCAUUUUGGCAUAGAGGAUCAUCGCUUUACAGGAAAAAAUGGAAUUUUGUCAAGAUUCACGCAAUGGCAAUGGUUCACUAGGAUUUAACACUAAUGACCCUUUGAACUGGGGCAUGGCGGCAGAGUCACUAAAAGGAAGCCACCUAGAUGAGGUCAAGCGCAUGAUCGAGGAGUACAGGAAGCCUGUGGUCAGGCUAGGAGGUGAGACCCUGACCAUAGGCCAGGUAACUGCAAUUGCUAGCCGUGACGUUGGUGUCAUGGUGGAGCUGUCAGAGGAGGCUCGAGC